CUCUUCUUCUUCUCUUCUUCUUCUUCUUCUUUCUAUUCUUCUUCUUCUCUUCUUUUUCUUUUUUUCUUCUUCUUUGUGGAAGAUCCACGCGUCGCCCCUCCUUCUUGAUUUUCUCUCCCUUCUGCUAACCAUCUCUCUUCCUCUCUCACGCACGCCGAAAACAAUGCGACUUUUCGUCAACGACACGCCGAAAACCUCUUCUUUUUCUCCUUUAGCCGAUGCCACCACCCAAUACCCCUUUCACAGCUGAACUUGCCGAUGAAUCUCAACCACCUUGUGCGAUAGCUCGUUGGAGAUCAAGCCCAUCAUGGUCUGUCUCCAUUCUUCGUUCAGAUUCAACUUCUAGUGUUUUCAUUUUCACUCCAAUUUUCUUUUUAUUUCUCUUCAAAUGCUUACAUUUUACCCACAAUAUUAAGGUAUUUUUAUCAAAGUUUCAUUAUUUCUAUUGUUUGUAUUUGUACCGUAUAUUAACUUCAAAUGCUUUCAUUUUACCCACAAUUUGAUAUAUUGAUGGUUCUUUUUAUGGAAAACAUCCCUCAUAGUUUUUCUUUUAUAGGAGAUACGUGUUUGUUUUGUCUACCAUCCUAUUUAAUAUUGUUGUUUACGAUCAUUUUUCUAAUGUGAAUCUACAUUUUUUCUUUAUGAUGGGCUAUGUGAUGAAGCAUUUUGGUAGCUUCCAAUGUGUUUGAUGAAAUGCCUCAAUGAAGCAUUUGGUUGAUUUUUAAUUGAUUUUUGUUCGUUCGAAUUAGGAAAUCAAGGCCAAGGGAGAUUUCGAGAUUUCAUGGCUAUGGGCUGAAGCUUUGAGAAAAAGAGAAUGAAAAACGAAAUAUCAAUAAGUUUCAGGUCAAUCAUCCAUGAAAAUCUUCAAGCCUAAAGACCAAUCAUCCAAGAAAGAUUAUAUUAAGUUCGAAGAUCGAUUCUACCAAAGAUCAAAUCAAUGGACUAUCCAAGAAGACCAUCGAGUCCAAAUAACGAUUAUCUAGGAAGAUCAUCAAGCUCAAAUGUCGAUUAUCCAAGAAGAACAAGUCUAAAGUUUAAUGUUUAUUUUUCUUAAGAGAAAGCAUCAAAUGAUCAUGUAUUAAAAAUUGUACCAAGUCUAUGGAAAUUAAUACAAAUACAAAGUUCAAAUUCCACAAUUUAAA